UAAAUGCAAAAAAUCAAAGCGGGUGCUUAGCUCUUUUGUGUUAAUUCAUCGCCGUACUAGCGCUAGCAUCGAUCUCGUUUGUUGUUUAUCUAUCUUAGAUACUGUACAUUCGUGCUUCAUUAGAUACGUAGCCCUGAAAAAUGUGCUUACACUCAUCAUUUUCUUCGUUGCAGGGAACACGACCCGAAUGUUCAAGUGCCCACCGUGGCGGUGGGCGGCAAGUUCGAGUACACGUUCCGCUUCACUCCGCGUAUCCACGGAGAGAGGAAACUGGUGGCUUCCUUCAGCUCCGAGGAACUCUACGACAUCGCGGGCAGCAAGACCAUCGACGUUGUCAAGGAGUGAGACGACCGACGUUUUGGUAUGCAACGUCAACAACGUCGCGUUGACGUGUGCUUUGUCGAGGGAAUAACCCAUCUGACCGAGGUUGUCAAGGAGUGAGACGAGCGACAUUUUGGUUUGCAACGUCACCAACGUCGCGUUGACGUGUGCUUGCACAUGGUGGCUGGUGUGAGACUAUAAUGUGGUAAAAGUUGCGCGGUACCGAAUGUGUCAUGACGAUGACUUACUUCAUUGAUGUUCUUGCUUGUGUAUAUCAUGAACACAGCUACUUGUGGUUUUAGACUCUUAAUGGAAUAAUAGUUGUGACAGUUCUAUUAUUUUUGAUACAUAUAUCUGACGCGAAUGUCGUUAUUAUUUUCACCUAGCAAAUUGCAAAACUGUGUUUUAAUGCUGACGACAUAAUACGGCAACAUGGCUAGAUUUGAUGCGCUCCAGAAGCUGAUUAUCUUAAUGCUAAAGAUUAAAAGUUCAGGUGUUGGUAGGAUUUGAGACGCGUUUUUUAAACCUUUGAUAAAGCGUUCACGUCUUCCUGGGAACAGUUCACUACAGUAAUACGAACAUUUUUACAAUGAAGUAUGUGUUGUCACCUUAGUGCAAAAAAUGCUAUAAUGUGUUUAUUAUUUUUUUAGCGUAAUGUCUAUUUGCAAUGAAAAAUUGGUCGUACGAUAGAAGUUGUUAAAUGAUGUAGUUUUGUCUGAUAUGAUACCUUUAUGAUAUUUUUAUCAGGAAUUAUGGUUCCCAUGAAAAAACUAUUUAUAUUUUUAUUCAAUUGCGUAUGCGUAUAUACAUAGCUGCUUGAUAUGCUUGGAGUUUCUCUUAAGUUCUAUUAUCUUAAUUUUUCUUCCCUGUAAGUUCUAUAUUCUCAUUUCGAUAUAUAAACCUAUCAGAUGGAAUCAUGUGCAGUUACUUAAUCGUAUUUUGCGUCGGACAUGUGUAUAAUUCGUCCACGAUCUAUUGCGCUUAAAAAUAAUCGAAUUUAAGCCUAAAGCUCUGAAUUUAUUUUUUAAUUUGUGCAAGAUUGUCAGUUCAAACUGUUUGUUGGCAUGCUAAUGAGCUUGCGUUACGAGGCACGAGUGAUUGAAAAGUGACUUUCGGCGACUGUAAUAUUUAAGAUUUUUAUUUUGAACGAUGCCCUGAACACGCUAUGCGAUUUAACACAAUGAUUUCAGUCCUCAUCAUCUGCUACUAUGAAAUAAUUUUGGCGUACCAAACAUACGAGAGGCACGUACUGUUGGAUUUACUUCUGUGAACUUUAAUUUGUAAUAAAUUGCUGUUCUUAGAAGCGUAGUAAUGCUGGCAGCUCUGUGAUUACCUUCCAGUUGUCGCGAUCUCAUUUAUUUUCAAGGCAUGCAUUUAAUGGAAAAUUUAUGGUUGAAAGCAUCAACUGUGCACGUUACUAAAUUUAGAUAGUCUAAACUGUCCCCAUAGCGUAUUAAAUCUGAGUGCCAUUUAGCCGCUCGUAUAAAAAUCAUGUCUUCAGUUUGAUCGCUGCUUAUAGACGACCAAUAAAUGCUUUGGCUUUA